GAGAAGUUAGAGAAAAAAGAAAGAAAGGAGUCUUUAAGAAAAAGACGAAGGAGUACAAGAAAAAUGAUAAAAUUUUGACUCAAAAUGAGAGAGGGAAAUCACUGAGUUAGAUCUACAUCAGCUAAUACUGUUGAGGUCACUCCUUUAGUUACAGCUGAAGAUAGACUCUCUAUUUCAGAUUCUGGGUCAGAGUGGGAGAAAGAGGUGAAGAUGGAGGUGAGGAAAUUUAAAAAAAGACAGAAGGAAGAAAGAUGGGGUUGUUAUAACUAAUGUAAUCAUCUAAAUUUUAAUACUGUAGAUUUGGAGUGAUGUUAUGAAGAACUAAAAAGAGAUCUCAAGAAAGAAUUUAAAAUUUAUUCAUUCACUCGUGUUGCGUGGAAUCCCUGGACCAAUGAGAGGAAUGGACCUUUAGUUGGCAACUGCUAGAAAAUUAUCUUUUUGAGACACUUAUAUUUAGAAAGAAAUCCUGCUAGAACAUUCCCAGAGCAUCCACUCUUUAAAGAGAAGGACCUGGAAUUCACUUUUAAACCAUUAUUAUUAAAGUAACGAGAGCAGGGUUGGGGCGAAGUACAUUGGUACUUGUACUUAAGUGCACUUAAGUACAUAUUUUUUGGUACUUGUACUUAUACUUAAGUCUUUUUUAAAUUUUACCAAUGUACUUGUACUUAUACUUAAGUAUUAGUCUAUGUACUUGAUGUACUUGAUGUACUUAUAAGUCUUUUAAGUACUUUUAAGUCUUUUUAAGCACAGAUUGUAUAAUGUGUAUAUUAUUACCACAGCUAGUGUGAUUACAUGUACUUUCAAUACUAUAUCAGUGUAUCAUAGAAAGCAAGUGCAAAUUCUAGUAUCACUACUUUGUCUUUAGCUGGGUAGUUGGCCAGUCUUUUCACUUAUUUCUAACUGUAACUGAACAGGAGCUCAUGUUUUGAAGAUUAAUGUUCAUUACAUGUAAUAGUAAUUGAUAGUAAUAUAAUUAAAUCGACUCUAAAAAGUACUUACACUUAUACUUAAGUACAUAUCCAAGUAUUUGUACUUAUACUUAAGUACUUUUGUCAAAAGCGAUCAUGUACUUGUACUUAUACUUAAGUAUUUUGUAAAUGUACUUGGAUUUUACUUAAGUACUUUACAAAGUACUUCGCCCCAACCCUGAACGAGAGACAGAUAGAGAAGGAAGGUUAAUAAGUAAUCCUAACACUACAUAUAAUAAACAUAUAAUUAUUAUAUAACAUACAUAUAUACAUAAAAUAAUAAAUUAAAGUAAGGCCAAGUGGUCACUGUACUUUCCUAAAAAUGAUCCACAAAUUCCUAAUACAUACUGUAACAAGUGUCAUUUUCUUUCUAGUCAAUUUUAGGUAUAUUCUGUUUAUGACCCAGAGGUGGGCUGCUGCCAAUCGAGUUUGUGUAUUGCUGGAAUAAUGAAUGUACAUAUGCCUGAAGAAGAAGCAUUCUGUGUACUUCCUCACAUGAUGAGUUACCACAAUCUGAGAGCUAGAGCUAUAAAAGCCAACUAGCCAACCUGUCAGUCCGGUUUUACCAGCAGAAAACCCAGUUGAGGGUUUCUAUACUCUUAUGUACUCCAGCUCCUGGUUCCUGACUCUCUUUGCCUCCACUCUUCCUUUGUGUGCUGCACUUCAAAUACUAGAUAUACCUGGUAUUCCUGAUGGACGGGAUUGAGGUAAUAUUCUGUGUUGGUCUGGCACUAUUGGAGCGAAAGUCAAAGGAAACUCUUGAAGUUACACAUGGAAGACAUGACCAAAUCUGUAUCGGAGGAAGACUGUGACGCUCUAUUUGAGGCUGCCUUCAGAAUUAAAAUAUCUUCAAAAAAACUGAAAAGAUGAAGAAAAAGUACAAUUAAAGGAGGGAAAGGCAACAAGUAAAAAACUCGGAAUUAACUACUUCAAAAUGACAAUUAUGAGUUGGAAAAAUGAAUUUUAGCUCUAGAGAAGGAAUGUGCAGCUUUGACUGAUCGUCUAAUACAAGGGCAAGUGACCAGAGCCCAGGAAUAUGAAGAGGUGUAUGGUGUUAGAAGAGAAUUGACUACUUUAAGAAAGAAAGUGCCAUCCUUUGAGAAGAAAGAGGAAUCACAAAACAACCACGUACACAAUAAAUUUUGGUCAAAUACUCCUAAAAGUCCAUCAAAUGAAAUAUUUGUCUCCGUCAUCUUAAUAGAUUUUAGAGACAGAAUGCACAUCUGCUCUAUCAUUAAAAGACACUCCUCAACAGCCUCCACCUCAUUACUGGUUUCAAUUGAAGAAGGAAAUAAAGAACAGAACUCACAGGUAUCCACAACUGCUAAGGAAGAAACUCUGACAGCACUUCCAGAAACCUCACUAGCAGAUUAUUUUGAUGUUGAGACCCUCCUGUAGGAACUGCAUGGCCAUUGUUAAGAUUGAAUGUGCCGAGUGUGCUGAUCUCUUAAAGAGGAAGGUACUGGAACCAAGAAAACUGAAUAAGAAAUACUCAGAUGUACACUGAAAAGGAACUGAAGGAGACUAUAGCCCACCUCCAACAAGAGAAGAUGAGAAAAUUUGCCUCAAGUGUGGCUCCAAUGCUGUGUCCAUUAAUGGAGUAGCCUCAUCAUCAGUCAACUGUGAAUCAAGCAAGCAAGCAGUCACCAUAGACACCAUAGAAGACCAUAAACUACAGUUCAACAAGAUUUCAUCUAAUUUUAAUAAUGUGAUACAGACACCAUUAGAGUACAAUUCAAGAGGAAGCCUAUCCACGUACCAGUAUAUGAAACCAUUUACAUCUAUAGCUACUUCUCCUGGAGCUCCUGUGAACCAGUAUUCAGCAACCAUUGCCUGCCCUAUGUAUCAAUUGUACAACCAAUCAACACAGAAUGGUUACAUCUCUUUGGGUUCACAUACAAAUUACUCUCCUUAUUGUAGUUAUUUUCAUCAAUUAUUGUCAUCCAGGACUGCUGCACUCUCCUGUGCUGCUGGUAGGACAUCGCACAUUAAUGAGACUAUCUCAGAAGGCUCCAAUAGUGGACUCAUAGCUGGUGGCAAUGCUACUGCAAUGGCCAUGCAAGGUAGCAGCAAGACAUAGCACUCAUAGCCAUGUCUAUGAAUGUGCCCCACACAAGCCGGCUACUUUGAACAAGAUCUGCCAAUUCAUCAGAGACCAUUUCCCUUACUACUGGCAGAAUUGUAAGCAAGGCUGGGAGAGCUCUAUAUCAGGCACAAUCUUUCCUUAACAAGUGCUUUGUGAAACAGCCAUGGGAGCAAAGAUGCCCUGGAAAGGACACUACUGGACACUGGACAAAAAGCUCUGAGAAUAGCCAAUGCAAGAGGUGCUUUAAGAAGAGAGACGUUAUUGGAGUAGAAGACCAUCCAGAUAUGUUAUGGUGAAAUAAUAAUAGAUUAUUUAAUAUACCAGUAAUAGGAGUAGACACUGAUGAUGCUAGAGAGAGAGAG